rnacentral:rRNA from 1 species
UGCGCAGGCGGCCUGAUAAGUCAGGGGUGAAAUAUGUCGGCUCAACCCCGGAACUGCAUCCGAUACUGCCGUACUAGAGGAUUGGAGAGGUAGCUGGAAUUCACGGUGUAGCAGUGAAAUGCGUAGAUAUCGUGAGGAACACCAAUGGCGAAAGCAAGCUACUGGACAACUCCUGACGCUGAGGCUCGAAGGCCAGGGUAGCGAAAG